AACGAACGCUGGCGGCAUGCCUAACACAUGCAAGUCGAACGAGACCUUCGGGUCUAGUGGCGCACGGGUGCGUAACGCGUGGGAACCUGCCCUUAGGUUCGGAAUAACUCCCCGAAAGGGGUACUAAUACCGGAUAAUGUCUUCGGACCAAAGAUUUAUCGCCUUUGGAUGGGCCCGCGUUGGAUUAGCUAGUUGGUAGGGUAAAAGCCUACCAAGGCGACGAUCCAUAGCUGGUCUGAGAGGAUGAUCAGCCACACUGGGACUGAGACACGGCCCAGACUCCUACGGGAGGCAGCAGUGGGGAAUAUUGGACAAUGGGCGAAAGCCUGAUCCAGCACUGCCGCGUGAGUGAUGAAGGCCUUAGGGUUGUAAAGCUCUUUUACCCGGGAUGAUAAUGACAGUACCGGGAGAAUAAGCUCCGGCUAACUCCGUG
rnacentral:rRNA from 1 species